rfam:Oryza nivara chromosome 1, whole genome shotgun sequence.
AAAAAGACAAAACCUGAUUUCUGUGCCCAGCGUUUGACCGUUCGUCUUAUUUAAAAAAAAUAUGAAAAAAUUAAAAAGACAAGUCACGCAUAAAAUAUUAAUCAUGUUUUAUCAUCUAGCAACAAUGAAAAUACGAAUUAUAAAAAAAUUUCAUAUAAGACGAACAGUCAAAGUUGACACGGAAACCCAGGGUUUACCUUUUU